AGCGGGGUGAUGCAAUGGUAGCAUGUCACACUCUGAAUGUGAAACUUCUGGUUCGAAUCCAGACCCCGCAA
rnacentral:tRNA from 1 species